rnacentral:rRNA from 1 species
AUUGAACGCUGGCGGCAGGCCUAACACAUGCAAGUCGGGCGGAGCGGCGGACGGGUGAGUAAUGCCUAGGAAUCUGCCUGGUAUUGGGUGAUAACGUCCGGACACGGGCGCUACUACCGCAUACUAUCCUAUGAGCCUAGGUCGGAUUAGCUAGUUGGUGGGGUAAAGGCCUACCAAGGGGACGAUCCGUAACUGGUCUGAGAGGAUGAUCAGUCACACUGGAACUGAGACACGGGCCAGACUCCUACGGGAGGCAGCAGUGGGGAAUAUUGGACAAUGGGCGAAAGCCUGAUCCAGCCAUGCCGCGUGUGUGAAGAAGGUCUUCGGAUUGUAAAGCACUUUAAGUUGGGAGGCGUUACCAACAGAAUAAGCACCGGCUAACUUCGUGCCAGCAGCCGCGGUAAUAC